CGGGUCCCUUUCCGCAGUGUGGAAGCUUUGUUCUUUUGCUCUUUGCAAUAAAUCUUGCUGCUGCUCACUCUUUGGGUGCACACUGCCUUUAACACUCACCACGAAGGUCAGCAGCUUCACUCUUGAAGCCAGGAGACCGCGAACCCACCGGGAGGAACGAACAACUCCAAGACGCGCCGCCUUAAGAGCUGUAACACCGCGAAGGUCUGCAGCUUCAGACUUAGAUACCAUAAUUCCAAGGGCUCCUUAGAGGCUGUUUUGUGGAAUGCUAAAGGCCAU
rnacentral:lncRNA from 10 species